GACGAACCUUGCAAACGUUAUUCGGAAUCACUGGGCUUAAAGGGUGCGUAGGCUGUGCAGAAAGUUGGGUGUGAAAUACCUCGGCUUAACCGAGGAAUUGCGCCCAAAACUACUGUGCUCGAGGAAGAUAGAGGUGAGCGGAACUUAGGGUGAAGCGGUGAAAUGCGUUGAUAUCCUAAGGAACACCGGUGGCGAAAGCGGCUCACUGGAUCUUAUCUGACGCUGAGGCACGAAAGCCAGGGUAGCGAACGGG
rnacentral:rRNA from 1 species